AUGCUGUGCGACGUGAUGCUGUGCGACGUGAUGCUGUGCGACGUGAUGCUGUGCGACGUGAUACUGUAUGAAGUGUGUGAGGUGAUUCUGUGUGAGGUGAUGCUGUGCGAGGUGAUGCUUUGUGAGGUGUGCGAGGUGAUGCUGUGUGAAGUUUGUGAGGUGAUGCUGUGUGAAGUUUGUGAGAUGAUGCUGUGCGAGAUGAUGCUGUGCGAGGUGAUGCUGUGUGAAGUUUGUGAGGUGAUGCUGUGCGAGGUGAUGCUGUGCGAGGUGAUGCUGUGCGAGGUGAUGCUGUGCGAGGUGAUGCUGUGUGAAGUGUGUGAGAUGAUGCUGUGUGAGAUGAUGCUGUGUGAAGAAUGUGAGGUGAUGCUGUGCGAGGUGAUGCUGUGCGAGGUGAUGCUGUGUGAAGUGUGUGAGAUGAUGCUGUGUGAGAUGAUGCUGUGUGAAGUGUGUGAGGUGAUGCUUUGUGAGGUGAUGCUUUGUGAGGUGAUGCUGUGUGAGGUGAUGCUGUGUGAGGUGAUGCUGUGUGAGGUGAUGCUGUGUGUAAGGUGAGGCUGUGUGUAAGGUGAUGCUGUGCGACGUGAUGCUGUGCGACGUGAUGUGCGAC